rnacentral:rRNA from 1 species
AGCUGGCGGCGUGCCUAUACAUGCAGUCGAGCGGAGAUUUGAAAAGCUUGCUUUUCAAAUCUUAGCGGCGGACGGGUGAGUAACACGUGGGCAACCUGCCCUUGAGACGGGGAUAACUCCGGGAAACCGGAGCUAAUACCGGAUAACACAUAUCUUCGCAUGAGGAUAUGUUAGAAGGUGGCUUUUAGCUACCACUCAAGGAUGGGCCCGCGGCGCAUUAGCUAGUUGGUGAGGUAACGGCUCACCAAGGCGACGAUGCGUAGCCGACCUGAGAGGUGAUCGGCACACUGGGACUGAGACACGGCCAGACUCCUACGGAGGCAGCAGUAGGAAUCUUCCGCAAUGACGAAAGUCUGACGGAGCACGCGCGUGAGUGAUGAAGGUUUUCGGAUCGUAAAGCUCUGUUGUUAGGGAAGAACAAGUACUGUUAAUAAGCAGGUACCUUGACGGUACCUAACCAGAAAGCCACGGUACUACGCCACGCCCGGAUCGAGGGACGCUCCGAUUUGGGAAGGCGCGGGUUCUAGUUAUGAAGCCCGCACCGGGGUUUGAUGGAAUUGGGAAAGAAGAA